GUGUGGGUGGGUAGGGGAGCGUCGUGUGCCGGGUGAAGCAGCGCCGGAAGGUAGUUGUGGACGGUUCACGAGUGAGAAUGCAGGCAUGAGUAGCGAUACAAGAGUGGGAAACUCUUGCGCCGAUUGACUAAGGGUUCCUGGGUCAAGCUGAUCUGCCCAGGGUAAGUCGGGACCUAAGGCGAGGCCGACAGGCGUAGUCGAUGGACAACCGGUUGAUAUUCCGGUACCCGUGAUAGUGCGCCAACGCUGAAUCUGGUGAUGCUAAGGCCGUGAAGCCGCCUUUGAUCCCUUCGGGGUGAUGAGGAGUGGUGGAGCCGCUGGUCCAAGCCAGUAGUAGGUGAGCGAUGGGGUGACGCAGGAAGGUAGUCCAGCCCGGGCGGUGGUUGUCCCGGGGUAAGGGUGUAGGGCGUUGCGUAGGUAAAUCCGCGUGACAUGUGUCUGAGACCUGAUGCCGAGCCGAUUGUGGUGAAGUGGAUGAUCCUAUGCUGUCGAGAAAAGCCUCUAGUGAGUGCUGUUGCGGCCCGUACCCUAAACCGACUCAGGUGGUCUGGUAGAGAAUACCGAGGCGUUCGGGUGAACUAUGGUUAAGGAACUCGGCAAAAUGCCCCCGUAACUUCGGGAGAAGGGGGGCCAUUCCUGGUGAUCAUCUUUUCGGUGUGAGCUGGGGGUGGCCGCAGAGACCAGCGAGAAGCGACUGUUUACUAAAAACACAGGUCCGUGCGAAGCCGUAAGGCGAUGUAUACGGACUGACGCCUGCCCGGUGCUGGAACGUUAAGGGGACCGGUUAGCUCUACUUCGGUGGGGCGAAGCUGAGAACUUAAGCGCCAGUAAACGGCGGUGGUAACUAUAACCAUCCUAAGGUAGCGAAAUUCCUUGUCGGGUAAGUUCCGACCUGCACGAAUGGCGUAACGACUUCUCGACUGUCUCAACCAUAGGCCCGGUGAAAUUGCAUUACGAGUAAAGAUGCUCGUUUCGCGCAGCAGGACGGAAAGACCCCGGGACCUUUACUACAGUUUGAUAUUGGUGUUCGGUUCGGCUUGUGUAGGAUAGGUGGGAGACUGUGAAGCUCAAGCGCCAGCUUGGGUGGAGUCGUUGUUGAAAUACCACUCUGGUCGUGCUGGAUGUCUAACCUGGGUCCGUGAUCCGGAUCAGGGACAGUGUCUGAUGGGUAGUUUAACUGGGGCGGUUGCCUCCUAAAGGGUAACGGAGGCGCCCAAAGGUUCCCUCAGCCUGGUUGGCAAUCAGGUGUUGAGUGUAAGUGCACAAGGGAGCUUGACUGUGAGACUGACGGGUCGAGCAGGAGCGAAAGCUGGGACUAGUGAUCCGGCGGUGGCUUGUGGAAGCGCCGUCGCUCAACGGAUAAAAGGUACCCCGGGGAUAACAGGCUGAUCUUCCCCAAGAGUCCAUAUCGACGGGAUGGUUUGGCACCUCGAUGUCGGCUCGUCGCAUCCUGGGGCUGGAGUCGGUCCCAAGGGUUGGGCUGUUCGCCCAUUAAAGCGGUACGCGAGCUGGGUUUAGAACGUCGUGAGACAGUUCGGUCCCUAUCCGCUGUGCGCGUAGGAGUCUUGAGAAGGGCUGUCCCUAGUACGAGAGGACCGGGACGGACGGACCUCUGGUGUGCCAGUUGUUCUGCCAAGGGCAUGGCUGGUUGGCUACGUUCGGGAGGGAUAACCGCUGAAAGCAUCUAAGCGGGAAGCCUGCUUCGAGAUGAGGACUCCCACCCACUUGAUGGGGUAAGGCUCCCAGUAGACGACUGGGUUGAUAGGCCAGAGAUGGAAGCCGGGUAACCGGUGGAGUUGACUGGUACUAAUAGGCCGAGGGCUUGUCCUC
rnacentral:rRNA from 1 species